GUGGUGCAUGCUUGUUUAUUGCAAGAUUUUUACAAUUCAGGUUGUACAUGUGCUAAAAAGUGCCUCUUUAAUUUUAUUCUAGACUAGAAGGGACGUAUAGGGGAUGUGAUGCCAUGCAACAUUGAACUACGAUUAAAAGCUUUCUGUUGUGGUUGGGGAGGGAUUCUUGUUUGUUUGUGUGAUCAGUGCGCAACAGAUGCUCCUCCUGUGCAAGCAAGGACAUUGCAUUUCCAAUGUGGCUAAGUUCCACCGCCUAGAAAUAUACUGGUUGCUGGAGCCAGUAAGUUACAAAAAGCUACUAGGAGCCAAUUUGCAACUUCUGACACGUUUAUUAUUACCUAUGUUCUCGGCAUGGUUCACAACCAUGGAGUUUUGUUUCCAGCUAUAGUAAGGUAGAUUUCUAAACCUCGAUUCCUUCUAAAUCACUUCUGCAGCUCCAUAAAUCCGUCAAAUAAUAACUUUUGAGAUUGAAUUUCAUAUUUAAAAGCUAAUUAGUGGCGACACGUGUGAAAACUAUUGGGGAAUUUAAAUGUAAAUUUGUAAAACUAUUUUUCCAUAGUCCUGUUGGGCCCCAAUUUUAAAAAACUGAGAUAGUUUUUCCGCUACUUUCAGCCAAAAGUGUUUUCAGUCAAAUUCUAUGCGAAUUUUACAUUUGUAAUCUUCUCCGAAUAAUUUUCUAGAACAUGUAAUCCAUCGGUUUGUUUCAUAUUUUUCACGUGAAUUAGCCAACGUAAAAUCUGUAAAGACAUCUUUCUCAUGGACUCUCUUUGGGUUUCAGGCCUUUUCAUGGACUCUCCUGAAGCAGCAAUGAUGUUCAAGAACCCAGCUGCGGAAGGCUAGGAAAGAGAAGCGGUCCAGCAAGACCUUGUCGUCCUUGCUGCGGCUGCAGGAGCAGCUCGACACUGUGGCGAAGGGGACGUACGUUCUCGGCCAGGACCUCGACACGGUGAGCAACCUCGUGGCGCGGCUCUCCGAUGGCAUCGAGCGGGAGAACGCCAUGGCGAGGUGCUGCGAGGAGAGAUCGGGCGAGAGGAGCUCGGUGCUGGAGAUGGUGAACGAGCUGAGGAGCAGCUGCUCGAGCUCCAGCAGGCUCAGUGACGAGUUGGAGGAGCACGUGUGUCUGUUCCUAGCCAGCAUACAUAGGGCUAGAAUUUUGGUGACUCAAGAGAACUCCAAGCAAGAAUGAUAGGAAAUAUACAUGCACAGUGAAGACUGAGGGUGGAAUCCUAGAACCUUAGAACUAAGCACAUUCUAGCCUGCAUAAUUAUUGUGCACCUAGUAUAUUCAGGAUACAUCUCUACAUAUUUUUGUUGUGCCAUCCUGAAUUUUUUACCGGUUUCUGCUUUACCCUUGUCGUUUCUUUUGCUUCCAUUGCUAUUAUAGCUGCUACUUAAUUCAAACAUACGCCAUUACAACCAUGUUGCCCCUAAUUGCUCAUAUUAGUUGUGAUCGAAAGCAUAGCUUUCUGUUUGAUUUUCUGAAUUCUGAAUAAAUGCACGUGCAUUGGAACCAGAGAAAUAUCAUAAAUUGAUCAUUUGAUUGGUUCCAUGCACUUCUUCAUACACUAUUUUUUAAUUGAUGUGAGUGUUGUUUUAAUUAGAUGAGCCUUACUAGGAGCUAAAAAAACACUCUUUGUGGGGAAAAGAUUUGAAGGCUAAAAGAUCACUUAUUUUGGGACAGAGGAGUAUAUUUGAGCACACACUAUCGCCAUAUCUUUGUUCUAUUUUAUUUGGAUUCUGUUUUGUAAGCAUUUAUUCUCCCAUUUCUUUGCUUUUCCAAUUGAAUAACUUUUGGUUUGCAAUCCAGAAGUUACUGUUGGGAUUUUUUGGGCUAACAAAAGAAUACAGUCUCUAUUAUUUGCCUCCAAAAAUUGUGAGUCACAAAAACAUUAUGCCCUCUUAUUUCGAAGGGAGGCGGAUCGCCACUUUUGCCUUACCCUACAACCACUAUAUUCUGAACAUAUUCAAGGGCACAACGAUCAUUACAACACGAUAGGUGCAAGACCCCACGCGGCCCCGUGUUGAUGUCUUCAUUUUUCCUUUGUGCAGCUGAUUAAAUGGUGAAGCCUCUUCUUGCACCCGCUUCCCAAUUCUUCUUUGCUUUCGACAUCUUCCGCUCCUUCCGGCAAACCCCAGCUUAUUAUAUAGUGCAGCCUUCCCAGCCUGACAAGUGAACCCCUUCAUAGUCAUCUGCUGAGGCUAUUAUAAUUCGCUUGAGUGAGCAGAGCUAUCAUGUUCACUAGGGGAAGCCUCCUUGCCGUCCUUUUCUUCGGAGGAAUCCGAAGCCCUUUCUUUCCUCCUCGCAUGGAGCUGCUAGGGCCUUCGCUUCCAAAUAUUCAAAAUCAAACAAACUAACCCUUUGCCUGCCAGAAACAAUUACGCUCCAUAGUAUUUGUUGAUACCUAGUGCAGCAGAGUAUGCACUCUCUUAAACCAUUUCCGACAUGUAUCCUGUUCUAUAUGUUAAUGGUUUUGUUGGUGUUAGCUGUUACUAGAGAUUACCGAGCUGAGUUACAGUGUGUUGUGGCAAAGACAUCCUUUUUUAGUGGCUUGUGGCAAAUGUCACCUUUUUUCGUCCGCCGGCAAAUUUUGCCUUAUUAGAAGCAAGAAUCUUUUGACUGUCUAUAACAUACAGUCAUCUAGAUGAAGAACACAUUUCCUAUCACGCUUUCUUGGAGAUCUCUUGGAUCACCAAAAUUCUAGCCUUAUGUAUGGUGGCAAGGAGCAGGCAGACAUGCUCCUCCAGCUCGUCAGUAAGCCUCCUGGAGCUCGAGCAGCUCCUCCUCAGCUCGUUCACCAUCUCAAGCACCGAGCUCCUCUCGCCCGAUCUUUCCUCGCAGCACCUCGCCAUGGCGUUCUCCCGCUCGAUGCCAUCGGAGAGCCGCACCACGAGGUUGCUCACCGUGUCAAGGUCCUGGCCGAGAACGUAAGUCCCCUUCGCCGCGGUGUCGAGCUGCUCCUGCAGCCGCAGCAAGGACAUGCAGGUCUUGCUGGACCCCUUCUCUUUCCUAGCCUUCCCAGCGAUCCUCCUUUUGAGCGCGAUCGGCAAGAGCCCCGCGGCUGCCGCCCCGAUCAGGACGCCGAAGAACAGCCGGUGCGACGCCGCGCCGAUGGCGGCCGCAGACGCCCCGCCGCACGCCAUGACGAGGAAGGCACGCGAGAGCUUCUUGAACGCCUUCAUGAUCUUGAGCUUCCUCCCUAAUUUCCGGUGGCUCGAUCUGAUGCUCUGGAGUAUGGAGGAGUACUUGUCGUGGAUCUGCCUGAAGUUGCUCCGAGUUGUGGUGCAGAAAGGGUUGCUUGUGACAGGGAAAGACUUAAGUGCAAGGGGAGCACUCGCACUAGUACUGGCCGUGCUGUCUGUGAUGCUUGCAAGGAAGCUGUCCAUCGACUGGUAGUUGCUUUGGGUGUCCUUGAUGUUCCGGAGCAGCUGCCUGCAGAUCUCAAUGGCCUCCGUGCUUGCGUCGAAGUAAUCGGCCAUUGCGCGCUCGAUCUCUGAAGAUGUUCUUCGGUGCACCAUGAUGUUAUGAAGCGCCGGAGGGAUGAGGUCCUUCUGGGUCUCAAGAAGAGCUUCCAUUUCUUCCUCAGAUUGGUAUUUCUUGAACAAGAAGCGCGCAUUGGAUUGAGUGCGCAGCAUGCUGCUGUACUCCUGCUCUAUGUCUAGCAGGGCUGCCUGAGCAUGCGCCGGCAUAUUCAUCUCCAUUAAUACCUCCGCAAAGCACACGAAUUCUCAGCUGAUGUGUAGAACUGUACUGGAGUGUCUCAGAACUGCUGCUUCUUUGCUUGCACUGACUUCGAAUGGACCUCUCCUCAUCGGCCCAGGCUUUAUAUGCGAGCACCAUAGCUGAUAGAAGUCAUGUCAUUUGUCCUGAUCCUAAGGUUCAGGCGGUUUUCAGCCGCGUUCUUGCUUGACCGACGUGCUCCUGCACUCCACAUCGGUCGGUAUGUUUGGCUCUGUCCUUGGUGAUUUGCUGCUGUGAUCAGGAGAGAAUUUUUGCGACAGUUCAGGUACUGAGUACACGUGUUGCCGGAAACAGCUUCAGUUCUGAUGGCUGUGGCCUGCACCAAUGCUAGGUUCUUGAGUGUAUCAUUGCUUCUUCAGAAGAGUCCAUGAGAUGGCCUGAAACCCAAGGAAUUUGGUGAGGUACGGAGAUUAUGGCUGGUUCACGUGAAAAAUAUGAAACAAACCGAUGGAUUAGAUGUUCCAGAAACUUACUUAGUUGGAGCGCAAGAGCUUUAUCAUGAUUAUUUAAAAUCUUCAUAUGAUUUGAGGGAAAAACACUUCUGACUGAAAGUAGAGGUUUUUGUUGUUGCGAGCGGGAAAACUUUCUCUGCUUUUAAAAAAUUGGGCCCCAGAAGAAAUAUGUAGACAGUUAAAUUGUUUUGAAUUUAUAUUUCAAUUUCCUGGAGUGGCUAUCCACAUGUGUCGCCUAAAUUUUUAUAUCAAAAAUUCAAAUUCAAAAUUGAUCAUUUGACUGGUUUAUGGAACCGCUGAAGCCUGAAGGGAGUUAGAAGGGAUCGAGGGAGCGAAAUCUACUUCUACCAUAAGUGGAUACAGAAUACCUUAGUUGUGAACCAUGCAUGCGAAGAACAUAGCCUGAACGUGACAGAAAUUAGAGUUUAUUGGCUCCUAGUAGCUUUUCGUAACUGACUGGUUCCAGCAACCCGUUUAGUUCUAGGCGGUGGAACUUAGCCAACAUUAGAAAAGUACUCUUCUUGCUUGCACAGGAGGAGCAUCUCCCUUGUGCACUGAUCACAAAAACAAACAAGAAUUCCUCCCCAACAGAAAGCUUGUCAUCGUGGUUCAAUGCAUAUCGUGACAUGUAUAUCCCCUAUACAUAUCUUCUAGAAUUAAACAUGCACUUUUGUAGCACAUGUAAAGCCUGAAUUGUAAAACUCUUGCAAUAUACAAGCAUGCAUCACAUGUGUGUCAUUACAAACCUGAAUUUCCUGCAUGUCAAUAUGUGAUAAGGGCCCUCAAUUUCACUCGAUCCGUCUGGUUCUCGUGUUCCUUGUCUAACAUUAGGCGGCCAAAAUUGAACCACAUCGUAUCAGCGUGCAAUCUUUCGUAAAUGUUUUUUAUAAAUAGUAGUCCAUCAAUCCCAGCUUUGGUGCCUUUGAUUGCAUUCAUCCUUGGACCUGUAAUACCGUGCUAACGCAUACUACACCUGAUGAAUACAUUAGUUCUAAUUAUUAUAUUAUCACUCAAAAUUACUAAAAUCACAAAUAACGGCUUAUAGGGGCCAUUUUCACUGCAACAUGUAUUCUUCCUUCUUUUAUUUUCAUUGUUUCCAUUUUUCUUUUCUUUGUUUUAUUUGGUAGUUUUUUUGUUUUUCCUUCCAUCAAGUUUUCCUUUCUUUGUUAUAUUUUGCCCUGCCACAUGUCUCCAUCAUGCUUACUAAAAAUAGAUUUACUCAUACAGAUCUCCCUUAGCCUUUUCCUUGCUUGUUUCUAAACAAAAUUUUCUCGAUGUAAUGCAUACGAAUAAGUUUUUAUCUAGAUUAUGUGAGUUAAUCUUAUUUCAACAUGUUUUAGCAAAAAAAAUUAUUUGGUCAUUUUAUAAUAAAACUUAGUUGAAUUAAUUGUUCUAAAAACAUAUUUUGAACAUGUUUCAUCGGAGAAUUUGGAUAGCGAAAAAAUUACGUGUAUAAGUAAGUUUUCUAGAAAAGUUUCUCCUAAGAAAUUAUCCUAACAACAUUCUCAUAAAAAGUUAUCAUUGAGAAGUUGCACUAACUAAUUGUAUAAAGAAGUUAUGUAUAAAAGUUGUGCGAUUGGAAGCUCUCUUGACAACAUUCUCAGGUAAGUUAAGCUGAAAAUUUAUAAUGAGAAGUUGCCCAAAGAACCAAAGUUUUUUAUAACCAGGGUGGAUGCGGUGAGGCUGGCGCUACGCGGCCACUGACCCUGUUCGCUUCAGUUUAUAAGUCGGCUGAAAAGCUGAAACGGCUGAUUUGUUGUGAGAGGAAAAUAUUAUUUGGUGGCUGAUAAGCCGGCUGAAUAAGCUGAAGCGAAUAGGCCCCCGUCUUCAGCCGGCACGGCGAGCUGUAAGUGGCGCCGUACGUGCGGCGCGACAUGCUCAUGAUCGAGAACCAGCUGCCGCUGCUCGUCCUCCAGCAGCUCGUCGCCUUCCUGCACGGCGCGUCAGCCGCGGUACGUUACGUUCGUCUCGGAGUCGAAUCGAAUCGCAAAAUCCAUGCGUUUCGAUGUGCUCGAACUGAUUUCGUGAACGAAUUGACACCUCUGCUGCAGACCGACGACGCGAUCAACAACAUGGUGCUGGAUUUCGUGAAGCUGAACCACAACUCGCCGGUGGUCACCGGCGGCGUCCUGGCGCUCCACGCCCUGGACGUCUGCCACCGGAGCCUGCUCCGCGGCCCUCCCCGGCCGUCCCGCACGGGGCCGCUGGACGAGUUCGUCCCCUCGGCGACGGAGCUCCACCAGGCGGGGGUCCGUUUCCGCCCGAGCCGGACACGGACGACGCGCAGCUGCUGCCUCCACGACAUGCGCUUCCACCGCGGCGUGCUCCACAUCCCGGAGCUCGCCGUCGACGACACCACGGGGCACAAGCUCCUGAGCCUGAUGGCGUUCGAGCAGCUGCACGCGGGGCGGGGCGCCAAUAACGAGGUGACGGCAUACGUGUUCUUCAACGUGAUCAAGUCGGCGGCGGACGCGCGGCUGCUGUCCGCCGCCGGCGUGCUCCGGAACGGCCUCGGCAGCGACAAGGCGGUGGCGGAGAUGUUCAACCGGCUGGCGACCGAGGCCGUGCUGGACCGGCGCAGCAGGCUCCACGACGUGCACGCCGCCGUCAACGCCUACCGCGGGGCGCGGUGGAACGAGUGGCGCGCCAGCCUCGUCCAGAACCACGCCGGGAACCCGUGGGCGAUCAUCUCCCUCGCCGUCGCCUUCGUCCUCCUCGUCCUCACCGUCGUGCAGACCGUCUACACCGUGCUGCCGUACCUCGACCAGAAGCAACAACAGACGGUGGCCGCCGGCGCCGGCAUUGGCUUGCUCCAGGAACUGUGAAUUCAAGUGGCAGCGAGCAGCAGGCGGAGCUAACCACCUUUGCCACCGGGGUCACUGAGCCCCGACAAAAUCCCGUGAAUCCCAAGGAAAACAAUGUUCACUAUCAUUGGUAAUCACAUCGUGCAAGAGUGAUAACCCCGUUGGCCUCCACGGUAUGUUUCGCCCACAAUGAGGUGUCAUUGUGUUGGGCUGGUGGCCCAGCCAAUGUUACCCUAUCUACACUGUAUUUUUCUCCUCCGGGCACUUUCUCUCACAUGCUAUCUAGAGUUACUACUAUCUUAGAACAAUUACCCUAUAUUAGUCAUUAGUGGAAUAUAUUUCUUCUUGGUUUGAAAUGUUUUUUCUUCAGCCAGAACAUUUUGAUUUCUAAGAAAUAUUUUUUUAUGACUUAAUAGUGGAACAAUUCUGCAACAUUAUUGGAAUAUUUUUAUUUGGGACAAUUUUCCAUUCAGCCAGAACAUUUUAAUUUUUCUUCAAAAUAUUUUUUCUUAGAAGUUCUUUUUUCCUUAAUUAUAAGAUUAGAUUUUUUGGCGAAACACGGUAAUGAAGUAGGUGCUCACAUACACAUACGCACCCUAACCUCCCGAUAUGUCUUGAGAUUGAUAGGCACUUGGUUCCGUUGACUACCAAUGAAUCAAUAGUGCCAUUAAACUCCUCAAAUAAAUUCAGAUAAUAUAUAUACCUGUACUGAGUGGAUGACUAAAAAUCCGAGCGCAAGUUGAACCACAUCAAAACCUAAUGAACUAAACUAGAUCUAUUCGCCAACAUUUCCAGAACUUGUGCUUGCUUGUUAAACAAUCAAUCGUGCAUGAUCUCUUCAUCUUAGCUAAACUAAGUCAAUAGCAAACGACUUUAAGGCAUAGUGAAAAUGUGAAAAAAGAUUAAUAGAAUUUUUAUGGCAUCAUCAAUUUAUUAUCGCUACUAAAAUAUACCUAGGUGAUUUAUAUACAAAAGCUGGCUAUUAUUUUUUUUGUUUUUUUGGAGGACCAUUAUUUUUUUGUUGAUUGCACUGAGCCGUGCUUUUCUUUGACCGUUUGGUUGUUGGGAAGCGUUUUUGGUUGCUUCAUGACAUGGGCCUGCUAAUCUAGGCUAGUUAGUUUGCUCUUUUUUGUUUUCAUAAUAAAAAAAUGUUUAUUAUUUUUUUCUACGUUUGUAAGUUGCUGGGUUGUUUUUGUUCCUGGGCUUUGGUUUUCCUUUUGGCCCAGUUUGUGUGUUGUUGUUUUCAUUUUCAUCCUUUUCAUUUUUCCUUUUUGAUUUUUAAUUCGUGUAGAAUUUAACCCUACCGAUCUCAGUAUAUUAUUCUCACGGUUACAAUGAAAUUUAUGUAACUAUUAUAUGUAGAGUUAGUGCAAAACAAUAACCAAUACUUGGGUGCUCUUAAACCAUUUUACCCGUGCAGUACAAGCCACGUAAAUUCACAUUAUUCGAGUACAGAUCAGAACAUCUCGACAGAAAAAUAUACAUAAGAUGAUCCGGUACAGAAACACAAAGCAAAUAAAGCGCGGCGGCCGGAUGCGCACGCUUAUUACUCAAGGCUUGAUUUGCAGUUGAUACGGGAACACCGAGGAUCCAGAUCGAGUUCCUAGGUGCAGAUAUCAGUCCAAAUCAAGACCUGACGCACACGAAUCGAAAGAGAAGAAUCAAGCAGUGGCGAUAAGAUGCUUCGGGCGAACAUGGUUUCAGUUGUGGCCGUGCUUCUUGGCGUCCUUCUUCUCGUGGCGCUCGUGGAAGGCGUAGCCAGCGGAGCCCACGGCGGCGACGGCGGCCACCUCCUCCUUGAUCCGGUGGCCGUGCUCGUUCUCGGGGUCCUUCUUGGCCUUGUGCUUCUCAUGCUGCAGUCACACGCAGGAACAGAUGCAUAUGCAAAUCAAGAGCUGAAUCAUGCGUGGAUAUACAUGCAGUUCAAAGAAAUUAAUUGGAUUACUGCUGACCAGAGCGUAUGCGCCGGCGGCAAUGGCACCAAGGCCGCCGAGCUGCUCCAUGUGCUUGUGGUGCUUCUCCUUCUUCUCGUAGUCGACCUCGCCGGAGCUCUCCUCCUCCUUGUGGUGGUGGAACAGGUGGUGGUGGUGCUUCUCCUCGGCCAUGACUUGCUUGUCAAAGAAAGAUUCAAAUAUAUGUUUCUCUGCAAAGUUAUCAGGGGGGAGAUGAUCGUCGGCUUCUUGGAUGGAGAAACUGUGGUGCCUAAUGGCCAGCAUUUAUAGGGUGGGAAUGGAUGAUGCAAUGACAUAACUACCCCUGCAACUAUUCAUCAAUCACCAUCCCUCUAGUAAGAGGGCAUUUGAGGGAGUGCAGAAGCUAAGAAUAUACAGCGGGAAGGAAAAACUUCACACCAGUUACACGUUUAUGUUUGGUUGGGAGUCAAAGGUGAAGUGAGAUAGGGCCAUUCCUCUUUUGAGGAUGAGAUGCUAUCCUAAUACUCCCUUCAUCUGAAAUUAUAGGUCGUUUUGUCUUUUUAGAUAUAUAGAUAUUACUAUGCAUCUAGACAUAUGGUAUAUCUAAGUAUAUAAUAAAGUAUAUGAAUUAAAACGAAGGAGUAGUUGUUUGGUUAGGGUGAUGGGGGAGGGAUUGCAUGGACACCAUUUUCGUCUCGGUAGCUGUGAGGUCCCGUUGUCAGCCACUUAGACUUGUGGGGCCCAGCUGUCAGCUACUAAGAAGCAGAGGCCAGCCAUGAAAGCCUUAAAACCAAGUGAGAGCAUGAUUUUGAGCAGUAACUAGAGGGGAAUCCAGACCUGGAGAAUCCCAAGGCUUGUAUUUUCACGCUAAUUGCGCAAUAGAAUACACAUCUCUAAUACACUAUUUUAAAUAGAAAGAGCUAUGUCACGCUAAUAGAAGGAGCUAUUGUAAUACACAUAUGUAAUAAUUAGUUUCACGAUAAAUCUAGUUACAUCAUCAAUUUUUAUAAUUUUUUGUAUCAUGGUCAAAGUUAAAAUAGCUUUAAAGUACUUAUUUUGUGCGUGGAGGGAGUACCAUGCACAUCGGUGAAAAUAACUUCGAAGGAGUCGUCAUUUUCUAUCAAGAAGACUAUGUCAUAUAUUUCGGAUGUUUGAAUGCUCUCAGACUUCUCACCAGAAGUGAUUUACAAAAUUCUUCUUUGUCAAUGGUGAUUUGUGUUGUUGGACAUGAUUUAUGAUCUUCCACUCCUGUCCUUAGUGUUCCCGGUGCAUUUUUUUUAGAAAAAGGAAUUGUCUCUAACCUCUACGAUGGCACAUAGCCUAGUUUCUUAAUUUUUUCAGCUUUGCAGGCUGAUUACAAAUAAGAAGGAAAAAAUAUGUAGUGGAUAGGAGAAAAUCAAAAGCUAAGUCUAUUAUUACUUCUCCAUCCAUUCUUAGUAAAGAUAUCCGACGAUGACCUCUAACAUCUUACUUGUCAAACAACCUGCAUAAUCUCUCCCUUGUUUCCUCUAAUAGGGAUCAAAAUCGCAGUUAAUAAGCUAAUUUUCAAAAAACAACCUGCAUAAAAAAAAGGUAAACUGUUUUUUCUCGAGCACUGGUGAUGUUUUUACGCGGUCGCGUUGGAGCCUGUCAAGUGAAAGUUUGGAGGAGUUCGGCUUCCAAGUUGUGGGCGAGCUUGAAACUAAAAUGUUGAGGGAAAAAAAAACUGUGCUCGAUUCUCUCAUGUAGUGACGUGAAGCCUAAUUAGCAGUAGGGUAAUAAACGCUAUUAGCGCUGCAGCUGCAAGCGAGAGCAAACAAAACACCUUUCGAGUACGAAUGUACGAUGCUGCCCUUGAUCGAACAGGUGACCCGUCGACCGCGAUGGGCUUUCGAUUCCGCAUCGCUGGCUGGCCUUGGCCCAGCUCAUCAGUCGUGUUUCCACGGGAACACUUGGACGACGGGAACUCGUGACCGAUCUUGUGCAGGUGGUUGGUCGCUGCUCAUCAUCCUCCCCUGAAUCAAGCAGGGAGGUGACAACGAUGAGCAGGGUGCACGCCAAUGGGCGUACUCCUUGAUGACUUGUAGGUCCUGAUGGUUGAUUUUUUUUAUUAUCAUUUCCCUUCUUCAGCGUGUGAUUAGUCAGCACCACACACUUGGUAAUCCAAUCCACAGGUGGCUGCGGCCAGGUGGCGGUCUAAAUGCUCUGCGUGCGGUGCACCGGUGGCCGUCGGCGUCGGACGACGGCGACGCCGGGUGGCAAUAUUGUCUUGGAUCGGUUAGUUGGAUGGAAAAUCUCCCAGGUUCCUUAGCAUAGCAGGUAAGGAAGGCAUGGUCGCAUGGAGGCAAACGACGUGCCAACCUGCCGGUUAGGUUCGCGUUCGCGGGCUCACGUUCUCCUGAGGACGGCCGGGGUGUGCCGGAUCGUACAGGAAAGCUUGGCCGCUCGGUUCUUUGCCACGGGGAGUCUGGCUGGAUGCUAUCCUAUAUCGGAGCCUGUAUGGGAGUGGCGAGUUGGGCUGAGAACUCUUUCGGGCUGGGGCGUCACUGCUUAAGCACUGGGUACAUAAACAUACUAGCAUCUUCCAAAUGGAAUCAUGAAAUGAGUUUUGGUCCAUUUUCUUUCCAAAGGUACGCUCUAACUCAUGCACGAGGAAUGAAGUAGUUUAUUAGCAUGACAAGACUCAAACGUGGACGAAAUUAGCAAGUACGCUCCAACUGAAGCAUGAGGAAUCAAGUAGUUUACUAGCAAGACAAAGCGUAGGAAAUACAAGGAGAGAUUUAUUGGGACUCUCAAAAGAAAAUUGAAGUAUGAGGUUAUCAUGCUAUAAUUCCUUCAAAAUACGUAUCGGGACUUUCUUCUAAAAAAAAUCCAUCAAAAUGUGGUCCAUAUUCAUUUCACACUUAAAUUUCAGACAACAUGCAUAGAAAUAAACACUCCCACAGGAUUGGCCUCAAUUCUCCAUUUUGCACUUAAAAUUACUGCUUUGCUGUUUGCUAAAAAAAAAGGCGUUAUUAUAUUAUCUGCCGCGUCAUUUUACACAUCGCCCCAAGCUCAUAAGUCAUAAGAAGCGAAACUGUAGCUAGGCAGCACACGUGUCAGUUUGAUGAUCAAAUGUACGGAUGAAGAAGCAUUUUAUUCCCGAAGUCUCGGUUACAAAGUCAAGUGCAAAACACGUACAUGCAUACCACGUAGAAAACGACGUAGAGAAAUGCACAUGCAGACACACCAACGCACUCUGGCAGCAUGCACCACAGCAUCGGCAUGCAGCCACAUCAGCAACCACAGUCACACGAUACACACACACACGGACACACGGAGCCGUACGCGCGAAAUUAAACUCCCGGCUCUUCAAUUUAUUCCCCUGCUGCAUGCAAAGCAUACUGCUGGCACUGCUGCAGGAGCGUCGUCGAUCAGCUAGCCGAAGAAGUGGUGCUUCUUCUUCCCCUCGCCGCGGCCGUCCUCCUCCUCCUCCUCGGCGUCCUCCGCGGCCUCCUUGGCCUCCUUUUUGCCGUGGUGCUCGUGGAACGCGUACCCGCCGCUGCCCAGCGCCGCCGCCGCCGCCACGCCCUCCUCGAUCUUGUGCCGGUGCGCGUGCUCCGGGUCCUUCUUCGCCUGGUGCUUCUCGUACUGCACCCACACGAUAUCGAUACGCAUGCAUCGAUCGUCAGAAGAAGAAAAAAACAUGUCGUCGGUGCGAGAGUUGCCAAUAAAACUGAUUAAAGUGCGUGACGGACCAAGGCGAAGGCGCCGGCGGCGAGGGCGCCCAUCUCGCCGAGGUGCUCCUUGUGCUUGUGCUCCUUCUCCUCCUUCCUGUACGUCUCCGAGUCGUCCCGGGAGGAGCCGUACUCAUCGUCGCCGGACUUUUUGUUGUACUCGUCGUCGCCGGACUUUUUGUUGUACUCGUCGUCGCCGGAGGACCU
rnacentral:lncRNA from 1 species